AUUUCAUGAUGUGGGCAAAGUCUUAACAUGUCUUUGUAUCUCUCCCAAGCUUCGAAAAGUGAUUCACUGUCUUUUUUGGUAAAUCCGUUGAUUUGACCUCUUAGCAU